AUGUCGUGCGCACCACCGCCGCCAAUCCUCCGCUUGCACCCGCCCUCUUCUAUCUCCCCCUUCUCAUCCCCACGGCGGCCGCACCUUUCCCCACGAACCUGCCCGUGGAGGCUCGCCGCGGCGCGCGAGAUGCCGUGGCCGCAUGUGCUCACGGUGGCGGGCUCCGACUCCAGCGCCGGCGCCGGCAUCCAGGCCGACGUUAAGGCCUGCGCCGCCCUGGGCGCAUACUGCUCCUCCGUCAUCACUGCCGUCACGGCCCAGAACACCGCCGGCGUCCAGGGCGUCCAUCUCGUGCCGGAGGAAUUAAUCCGGGAGCAGCUCCAGUCGGUUCUUUCGGAUAUGUCGGUGGACGUGGUGAAAACAGGAAUGCUCCCUUCGGCUGGAAUAAUUAAAAUUCUGUGUGAGAGUCUCCAGAAGUUUCCAGUCAAAGCUUUAGUGGUGGAUCCAGUUAUGGUGUCUACAAGUGGAGAUAGUCUUUCAGAUCCAUCUACUCUCACUUACUAUAGGGAUGGACUAUUUGCCAUGGCCGAUAUAGUCACCCCAAAUGUGAAAGAAGCAUCAAAAUUACUUGGGGGUGUAUCAUUGCACACAAUCGCCGAUAUGCGUGAUGCAGCAGAAUCCAUUUACAAAUUUGGUCCAAGAUAUGUACUUGUGAAAGGUGGGGACAUGCCAGAUUCGUCAGAAGCUAUUGACGUAUUCUAUGAUGGCAAGGAAUUCGUCGAGUUUCGUGGGCAUCGCAUAAAGACCCGCAACACACACGGAACUGGUUGCACUUUAGCCUCAUCUAUUGCGGCUGAGUUAGCAAAAGGUUCAAGUAUGCUGAAUGCUGUUCAGGUGGCGAAGAACUUUGUUGAAUCGGCUCUUCAUCACAGUAAAGACCUUGUCAUUGGAAAUGGACCUCAAGGCCCUUUUGACCACCUUUUCAGGCUCAAGUGUCCUCCAUACAAUAUUGGAUCGCAGCAAAGGUUCAAUCCAGACAGCCUCUUCCUGUAUGCAGUGACAGACUCUAGGAUGAACAAAAGGUGGGGCCAUUCAAUAGAAGAUGCCGUGAAAGCUGCAAUUGAAGGAGGCGCCACCAUUGUCCAACUGAGAGAAAAGGACAUUGAAUCACGACCGUUCUUGGAGGCUGCCAAGGCUUGCAUGGAGAUUUGCAGGUCGAGCGGAGUGCCGCUGCUGAUCAACGACCGUGUAGACAUUGCCCUAGCGUGCAAUGCUGAUGGUGUCCAUGUUGGUCAAUCAGACAUUUCGGCACGGGAGGUUCGGGAGCUCCUUGGACCGGGUAAAAUCAUCGGUGUCUCAUGCAAGACCCCUGCACAAGCCGAGCAGGCUUGGAGGGACGGGGCGGACUACCUCGGCUGCGGCGGCGUCUUCCCAACCACGACGAAGGCGAACAAUCCCACCUUGGGAUUUGAAGGGCUGAAGGCUGUUUGCUUGGCUUCAAAGUUGCCCGUGGUCGCCAUUGGUGGCAUCAACGCGACAAAUGCAGGUUCGGUGAUGGAACUUGACUUCCCCAAUCUCAAAGGUGUCGCCGUGGUCUCUGCUUUGUUCGAUCGCGAAUGCGUCUCGUCUGAGACGAGAAACCUCAGAUCCAUCUUGGCGAGUGUGCGUUGCUUGGCUUAG
rnacentral:rRNA from 1 species